UAUACUCCCAAGAGCCUCCAGAGGAAAUGCAGUGCUGUAGACACCUUGAUUUGGGUCCAGUAAAUCCUGUUUUCAACUCUUUAUGUUAUUCUAAGGUUCUCAUGGCUUAUUAACCAAGUUAGACCACAUUCUGGGCCAUAAAACCUUAAAUUUGAAGUAAUAGAUAUCAUAUAAAAAAUAAACAACAGAAAGCUAGCUGAAAAAUCUCAGAAUAUGUGGAGAUUAAACAACACACUUCUAAAUAACACA